GGGGGCAUAGCUCAGUUGGGAGAGCAGCAGACUGAAGUUUUCAGCGUAGUCGUUCGGUUUCUGAAGGUCCCGCGUUCAAUCCGCGGUGCCCCCA